rnacentral:lncRNA from 1 species
GGAAAUUAAGGCUGCUUUUAUCUGUUCUCAUGAACUCCUUGUUAAAAAUGGGUUAAACAAAAGCCAAAUCUGUUCUAACAGUGUAUAGCAAUUCCUAGAGGCGUCGGUCUGGUUGGCCAGUUAAUUCUAUGAGUCUUCAUCGGAGUGGCUCUCUGAUUCGGGAUUUGCCACGCCCUAAGAGCUGUCUUAACCGCUCUGUGUUCUGCUUGUGCCAGAUGCUGCUGGAGCUGUUUUACAUCGAUUAUUCCUUUUAAUCCUCACAGGGAUCUCCUGCAGUACAUCUGGUACUAUCAGAUCUAUCAAGAGAGACUCGGCUUAGGCAAUGCAUCCAGCAUCCUACAGAUAGUAAAUGGGGAUGCCAAAUCCAUAUUGAGGUCAGUCUGACACAGGAGUCUGAGUUCGUAAUAGCCCUGUAAUGAGGGGAUAUCAAUGGAGUGUGAAGUCUCAUCCAGAUGUUUGCAUAUACUUUUGAUUCAGCAAAUGCUUGUUUUAUAAUCAUUGUGUAUCUGUAUGUCUUAGACUUAGCAAGGUGGCUUGAGGCAAACAAAUAUGGAUCUGACAGGGAUGCUGCAGUGUGGUUCGAAAGAUAACAUGCAUACCCAAAAAUUGAUGGAGCUCAAUGAUGUAAUGAAGGAAAUGGAGAAGCCUGUUCUAAGUUCACUUGAAGCCAAAUUACAAAGGAGCAGACGGGAUCCCAGAAACAAAGAUGGCACCAG